AGAGUUUGAUCCUGGCUCAGGACGAACGCUGGCAGCGUGCUUAACACAUGCAAGUCGAACGAGAAUCUGCGGAAAGAGGAUUCGUCCAAUUGAAGCAGAGGACAGUGGCGGACGGGUGAGUAACGCGUGAGGAACCUGCCUUUCAGAGGGGGACAACAGUUGGAAACGACUGCUAAUACCGCAUGACAUAUAGAUGUCGCAUGGCAUUUAUAUCAAAGAUUUAUCGCUGAAAGAUGGCCUCGCGUCUGAUUAGCUAGUUGGUGAGGUAACGGCCCACCAAGGCGACGAUCAGUAGCCGGACUGAGAGGUUGAACGGCCACAUUGGGACUGAGAUACGGCCCAGACUCCUACGGGAGGCAGCAGUGGGGGAUAUUGCGCAAUGGGGGAAACCCUGACGCAGCAACGCCGCGUGAAGGAAGAAGGUUUUCGGAUUGUAAACUUCUUUUGUCAGGGACGAAUAGAUGACGGUACCUGACGAAUAAGCUCCGGCUAACUACGUGCCAGCAGCCGCGGUAAUACGUAGGGAGCGAGCGUUGUCCGGAAUUACUGGGUGUAAAGGGUGCGUAGGCGGCAGAGCAAGUCAGAUGUGAAAUACACGGGCUUAACCCGUGGGCUGCAUUUGAAACUGUUCAGCUUGAGUGAAGCAGAGGCAGGCGGAAUUCCCGGUGUAGCGGUGAAAUGCGUAGAGAUCAGGAGGAACACCAGUGGCGAAGGCGGCCUGCUGGGCUUUAACUGACGUUGAGGCUCGAAAGCGUGGGGAGCAAACAGGAUUAGAUACCCUGGUAGUCCACGCCGUAAACGAUG
rnacentral:rRNA from 1 species